UUCUGCGUUCCUGUCCUUCUUGUCGAACACGGCCUUAUAUGUGAGCCAUUCCCAAUCGUUCCCAAGAGGGUAGAGAUGAUAAAGUGGCCACCCAGCCGUGGCAGACUGCUGUGCUCAGCCCUCCGCUGCCGCUGUCGCUGCCGCUGCCGCUCCUCAGUGUUCCAUCUUUAGGCUCUAGUGGUCCUGGGGCCAGGGAAAGAGAAUCCUGAACCAACUAGCCCAAGCAAGAGUAGAGAAGCCUGGUACAGCUGCAGGCUGGGAUCUGGCCCCAGCUGCCAUGGCAACACUACAAGGCUGCUGGGAAGACAUUGUCUUCAGGCCCGGCAGGACUGGGGCCCCGCCCUUUUCCAGCCGAGGCUCCGCCCAGAACCCAAAGGACCUGAAACCUCGCUCUUGACUGGAUACAACCGGACGGACCGCCUCCAGCUGACCGGCCAAAGGUGCCAUCAUUGCCUGAUGAUUCGAGUGUGUCUGGCUGUCCGACUGAACACUGAUUUCAUGGGUGCCUGACAGACCAAGACGGUUUGCUCUGUCCAUCUUACCACAGUUGACUGACUGCCCUUACGUGGCUGAUGGCAUCUCUCCUGACAGGAGGCUUUUGUCUGAGGUGACCUAACUGCGGCCGACCAAGCAGAGCCUAUCCAUGCUUGACAAGCUGCAUCUGACCGGUGUCAGCCACCUGUGCCUGCCUGGUGGCAGUUUACCGAUUGAGUCCAUCUAUGCCAGCGGCCUGAGCCACGCCCACCUCAGCUUUAUGGGAUUGGGUGGGCUGGCCUAGACCACACCUGGAUCCGAAUGCCCUCACUGGCUCCAGAACUAGACCGGGCUAUCCCCUUGAGCCUCUCCACAACACUGGGAUGAGUCAGCUGACCAGCCCCUCAGCCCAGUUGGCAUGGUUGUUAAUUCUGCCUACCUCUGAAUGUGCAUGUACCUGAUGGACAGGGCAUUCUGUGUGACUGGGUCUGCCUGAUGUACCUCCCUGGCCACCUGUGUCUGACCCAGCUUGAUUCACCGACGCCUGCCUGAAGGCCAAGAUGGCUGACCACUUUGGCUGAUGUCCCAUCUGUCCCAUAGCCAUUUGGGUCUGGAACCUGAGCAUUUUCAACUAUAAGACUGGGCCUUGGAGGACCCAGAGCAGGUGCACCAACAGGGAAGGGGGCUUAGGAAAAGCCUGAGGUGGAGCAACAUCAGGAGUAGGAGUCGAGGCCAGGUGAGAGGCAACAGGAGGAAACAGCAGGGCUGGGGAAGGGACCACCGGGCCUCCGAUCUCCUACCUUAGGAAUCUAAUUCUGUACAAAAGCCAGAAUCCGGAGGAGUUGGCUUGGUGUGUGAGUGCCGCCAGUAAGCACGUGACCUUGUGCCUUUUGUUCCUUCAGAUUUGUGGGAAAUCUGUUUUUCUGCUUUGGGGAAGGAGCAUCUGCAGACCUCCCGAAUUUAAAUCUUCCCGGUCAUGUUUGCUUGGGACUGCCAGGCUGGUCCCACGGAAAGGCUUCGUCUCUGGAAGAAAGCUCUCUACUGUAAAAGGGGAGGAAGUACUGGCUAGAGAGGUUUAAGUAAGUGUAUUGAUUGCACGGGUAUGCUAUGAAUUAUAUCCAUCGCUGUUAAUGUUAAUAAAACGAGAGCAUUGGACAACUGA